AUUGAACGCUGGCGGCAGGCCUAACACAUGCAAGUCGAGCGAGCGGCGGACGUGUGAGUAAUGUAUGGGGACUGCCCGCUAGAGGGGGAUAACUACUGGAAACGGUGUCUAAUACCGCAUACUAUCUGAUAACCCCUAUGGGAUUAGCUAGUAGGUGGGGAAACGCCUCACCUAGGCGACGAUGUCUAGCUGGUCUGAGAAGAGGAUCAGACCCACAGGGCCUUAGACACGGACCUGAGUCCUACGGAGGUAGCAGUGGGGAGUAUUGCACAAUGGGCGCAAGCCUGAUGCAGCCAGGCGGCGUGUAUGAAGAAGGACGUAGGGUUGUAAAGCACUUUCAUCGGGGAGGCGUUACCUGAAGAAGAAGUAACGGCUAACUCCGUGCCAGCAGCCGCGGUAAUUU
rnacentral:rRNA from 1 species